UGAGUACGAGAUGCUACGGCAUCGAAGCAGUCUAUGUCAUACUUCCAAGAAAAGCUUGCAAUGUCAUAAACAAAUAAUGCCUGUACCAUAACCGACACAGGUGGGUAGGUAGAGUAUACUAAGGGGCGCGAGAUAACUCUCUCUAAGGAACUCGGCAAAAUGACUCCGUAACUUCGGGAGAAGGAGUGCCUUAUUUUUAUAAGGUUGCAAUAACAAGAUCCAAGCAACUGUUUACCAAAAACACAGGUCUCCGCUAAGUCGUAAGACGAUGUAUGGGGGCUGACGCCUGCCCAGUGCCAGAAGGUUAAGAAGUUGGUUAGCAUUAGCGAAGCUGAUAACUGAAGCCCUGGUGAACGGCGGCCGUAACGAUAACGGUCCUAAGGUAGCGAAAUUCCUUGUCGGGUAAGUUCCGACCCGCACGAAAGGCGUAAUGAUUUGGAUACUGUCUCGGAGAGGGGCUCGGUGAAAUAGACUUGUCUGUGAAGAUGCGGACUACCUGCACCUGGACAGAAAGACCCUAUGAAGCUUUACUGUAACUUGAGAUUGAAAUUGGACUUUAUCUGCGCAGUAUAGGUGGGAGACGUUGAAAAUAUUCUUGCGGGAAUAUUGGAGUCAUCAGUGAGAUACCACUCUUAUAAUGUUAGAUUUCUAACUUUGUAUCAUUAUCUGGUCAAAGAACAGUUUCAGGCGGGCAGUUUGACUGGGGCGGUCGCCUCCCAAACGGUAACGGAGGCGCACAAAGGUUUCCUCUGAACGUGUAGAAAUCGUAUCUAGAGUGUAAAGGCAUAAGGAAGCUUGACUGUGAGACCUACAAGUCGAGCAGGGACGAAAGUCGGUCUUAGUGAUCUGACGGUGCUGAGUGGAAAGGCCGUCACUCAACGGAUAAAAGUUACUCUAAGGAUAACAGGCUGAUCUCCCCCAAGAGUUCACAUCAACGGGGAGGUUUGGCACCUCGAUGUCGGCUCAUCGCAUCCUGGGGCGGUAGUACGUCCCAAGGGUUGGGCUGUUCGCCCAUGAAAGCGGUACGCGAGCUGGGUUCAGAACGUCGUGAGACAGUUCGGUCCAUAUCCGGUGUAGGCGUUAGAAUAUUGAGAGGAGCCUUCUUUAGUACAGAGGACCGAGAAGGACAUACCUCUGGUGCACCAGUUAUCGUGCCAACGGUAAACGCUGGGUAGCCAUGUAUGGAGAGGAUAACCGCUGAAAGCAUCUAAGUGGGAAGCCCACCUCAAGAUAAGUAUUCCCAAAG
rnacentral:rRNA from 1 species